rnacentral:rRNA from 1 species
AUGGCCGCGGUAUUUUGACCGUGCAAAGGUAGCAUAAUCAUUAGUUUUUUAAUUGAAAGCUGGAAUGAAUGGUUGGACAAGAAAAUUUCUGUCUCUAUCUAAUUUUUAGAAUUUUAUUUUUUAGUUAAAAAGCUUAAAUUUUUUUAAGGGACGAGAAGACCCUAUAGAAUUUUACAAAUUUGUUUGUUUUUGAUUUUUAGUUUAAUUAUAAGAAAAUAAGCUAAGUUUGUUUAAUUGGGGUGAUUGAAAAAUUUAAGAAACUUUUUUUAAUUUGAAUCAUUGAUUUAUGAGUAGUUGAUCCAUUAAUUGUGAUUAUAAGAUUAAAUUACCUUAGGGAUAACAGC